rnacentral:siRNA from 1 species
UAGCGGAGAGUCUCUUCCCGAUA